CAAUUUCUCCUCUUCUUUCUCCCAUUUUGCAUCGGUUUGCGUGCCAGAAAUACCCCGAAGCCCCGGUAUUGUUCUCAAGCCCCGAAGCAAGUCCCGAGAUCCCGAAGAUCCCGAGAAGUGCGGUUCCCGAGCCGAAGCUCUGCCCGCGAGAAGUUCGAUUUUUGAAGAGAUCUUCCAGAUCUGCUGAGGAUUACUACUUCUGCAAGUCGUAGUGCUGUCCGAUCAUCUUCUGAUCAAGUGAGUGUAUACUACCUUUCAUAAACACAAUAAUAAUACGAGUUUGGUUUGAGUGUAUUAAGAGUAUUGUUGUUUAUAAGUGUGAGGGUGUAGUUAUUUUUCUUCUAACGCAUAAUUAUUAAGUAUUUUCGUUGAAAUACGUGCUACGUGGAUAAUAUAAAGUUGUUUAUAUGGAUGGAUGUAUAGUCCCUUUCAUAAACACGGGUAUAAUACAAGUAUUGUUUGAAUGUAUUAAGUGUACGUUUGGCAGAGUGUAUGGUUACUUUCUUCUAACACAUAAAUAUGAAGUAUUUGGUAUAAAAUACGUGCUAUGUGUUUAUAUAUUGUUGUUUAUUUGAGAUGAGUAUGGCAUGAAUGUUUUAUAUAGUUUUAAAAUGAGAUAAACUGUAUGUGUAUUCUAGAUCUACAAAUAUGUUGGGUAGAACAUGGGUAGAUGAGAUAGUUGGUAUGUGAUGAAAUGAUGAGGUAUGAAAGAUGAUUAAGAAUGAUAUUGGUAGAUGCACCAAUUAAAGAAUGUCAUAAGACUAGCAGAUGUGCUGUAGAAUAAUAUCGGUAGAUGCACCAAGUAGUGAAUGUCGUAAUCCUAGCAGAUGCGCUUAUAGGAUAAUGUCGGCAGAUGCGCCAAAUAGAGAUUGUCAUAAUAAAAGCAGAUGCGCUUAUAGAGUGAUCCUAGCAGAUGCGCUUAUAGGAUAUUGUUGGCAGAUGCGCCAAAUAAAGAUUGUCAUAAUAAUAGCGGAUGCGCUUAUAGGGUAAUCUUGGCAGAUGCGCUUAUAAGAUAAUGUCGGCGGAUGCGCCUAAAAGAGAAUGUCAUAAACCUGGCAAUCGCGCCUCAUAGUGUAUGACGUAAUCCUGGCAGAGGCGCUUAAAGGAUAAUGUUGGCAGAUGCGCCUUAUGUAGCAAUGGAAGUUUGUGUAAAUCCCUUAGGUCAAUCCUUAGGAAUGAAGGAAUGACGAGUAGUUGAAUUCCUAGGGUAAAAUCCUAAGAAACAUAAUAGGGAUGAAUAAUUGAGUUGAUUGUUUGAUGGUUGAAUAUAAUAAUUGUAUUAUUGUGGGUUGAAAACCCUAUAUGCUCACCAGGCUCCCAAGCCUGACCCACUCAGUUUUCUUUGCAUUACAGGUAAUGGCACAAGAGUAUAAGUUGGUGGACUUGACGAGAGAUUUUGGAUUAUAGGCCAGUAGUUAUGAAUAACUGUUGUAAGGUCUAUUUAUUAUUGUUUAUGCUUUUGGUCUGUAUCGGAACAUGACAUCCCGAGGUUUUAUUAUUUAAUGAAAAUACAUUCUCUUUGAGAAACGUUUUGAUAAAUGGUUAUCAUAUUUUAUUUUGGGAACAAAUUCCGCAACCGUUUUCUUUAAACGAUCACUCUGAUUUAUAAAACAAAGCAUAAACAAAUCGGUCUUUUCUGGCCGUGAAAAUGGGGAUGUCACAGUUGGUAUCAGAGCAUUAGUUUAAGCGAACUAGGAAUUUGUAGGAAAUUUCUAGACUUAAACUUAGAAUGCUAAGUAAUGAUUGUGAGGAGUGUGUCUAAAAUAUGUUAGGUAGUACACCUAAAUUGACACAAGCACUAGUUCAUUUUAGGAAUGAUGCCUAAAAUGCUUUUAUGUGCUAAAUGUUUUGUGUGAUAGCUAAAUUGAUGCUAUUAUUUGUUCGGAUCUAUGGUCUGUUGCCGACCGGAUCUGGAAACCUUAUGUGUUUAGGAUUCUAAGCGUACGUCUACGAUAUUAGAACUAGCAUGUAAACGUUUCGGAGUGAUAAGGGCGAUGUGAAUAUCUAUCGUGAUUGAGGAUAUAAUUUCACCUUAUUUGGUGUGUAGAUCAAAAAUGGUGAGAACAAGAAGUGGAGUUGGAAAUGCUGAUGAAAACAGGAAUCAACCACCAGUGAUUGAGCAAAUACCUGUCGUAGCAGCAGCACCUGAGCCAAUAACCAUGGCUGGUGUGCAAAUGAUGAUUCAGACGAUGUUGGAUCGUCAGAUGGAUGAAACUAGACGGUUGCUUCAGCAGAAUCGUGAAGAACUGUCAAUUCGAGUGGAAGAGCCUGAAUUAAAUGAAGGGCACUCGGAAGGUGGAAACUUCAGUGGGUCUGUUGGUCAAGCCAACCCACCGAUAGUUAGGCAAAACAACCAGAAUGGAAGGAACGAUGGAAUGGGAUGCAAGUAUAAGGAUUUUCUGACUUGCAAACCAUCGACCUUCACUGGAAAGGAAGAUCCGAUCGGAGUUAUGGAUUGGAUAUCGGAAAUGGAGCUAGCCUUCAUGACUUGUGGCUGCAGAGGCAAGUUGCAGACUACCUAUGCAGUGCGUCAGUUCAGGGGUGGGGCUGUUCGUUGGUGGAACACUUUGGGGAAGAUCCUAAGUCCUAAUGAGCCACUGCAACUGACCUGGGCAGAGUUCUUGGUGCAAUUCAAGCGCAAGUUCUGCUCUGCUCAAAAUCUAUUGGAGUUGGAGAAUAAGUUUCUGAUAUUGAAGAAAGGCAGCAUGUCAGUGGAUGAAUACACUAAUGCUUUCACAGACAAGAUGGAGUUUGCUUUACGCAUCGUUCCAGACGAACUGACAAAAGUCGAUCGGUAUGCCAAGGGACUCCCUUGGGAGUAUGCGGUGCCAGUGCGUCAGGCACCUACUCUAGAGGCAGCUAUUUGGGCUGCCAAGUCUGUUGAGAAUAUGAUCAAGGGGAGGACUGACAGUAAGGUUGAAGUUGGUGAGAAGAGAAAGUUAGAAGGAACUUCAGGUUCUAAUGAGAAAAGAAAAUCCUCGAAGUCUGGAGGAGGAGGAAGGGAUGAGGCACGGUGGUGCGAUAAGUGCAAGAAGAAGCACUCAGGAAAAUGUGGCGUGGAAGUGACAUGUUUCAAGUGUGGAAAGCAUGGGCAUUACGCCGAUGAAUGUAUUUUCAACAAAAAGGUGUGUUACGAAUGUAACGAAGAGGGGCACUUCAAGCAAGACUGCCCAAGGAAAAAUCAAACAGCAAGGCUAGAGGCGCCGCCAAAGCUAAAGGCAAGAGCAUUUCAAAUGAUCCUUGAUGAAGCAGAUGGCAAUGCAAGGAAUCAGGAAUAAGGAUCUUAUAUCUAAAGAUCAAGUUAUAAAGUAGCGAUAUGAAAAGUAACAUGUGGUGUAGCCUAUUAGAGGCAUAGUAUAGGGUGAACUUGAACUUUUGUGUAACCGUUUCAAGGAAUUAAUAUAAACCCUAGUUUUGUUAACUGAUGUGUUGAAUGAUUGUCUGAUUUUCUUGCAUGGUGACUUGGUCGACUACGAGGCAAUACUUGGGACGAGUAUGAGUAGGUGUGAAAGGUAGUAGAUGCAUAUACUACCGGAAGCACAGGACUCGCACUUGGAUCAGGGAAAGUCGCAAGGUUACCAAGAAACUAGUGAUUGAUUCCAUUUUAUUCUGGUAUGUCAUUACCAUUGUUUCGGUGAUGACUAGUAAGAUGGUUCUUGUUCCGACCCUAGUGGUCAUGUUUAAUUUGAGUUCGACGGCGAGGAGUAUGUACGUGGUCUAGAGGACCGAGUUAGAUGUAACAUCUGACUUAAGUCAGAAGGUUGAAGUUAAUGCGAUUGAUAGUGUCGCUCUCGUUGUUAAAAGAAGUUUGUAGGCAGAAAUGCUACAUGCUGAAAUGUGAUUAUAUCGCAUUAGAAUAUGAAGGAAGGUAUAUUCCAUUCUGGAAUUUAACUUUAUUAAAGACCGAGUCUAAGCGUCGCAUCGUGCGAUGAGAGGUCGAUAGAGCACGACCCAUCGGUUUGUUACAUUGGAUAAAGGAAUAUAUUUAUCCUAAGAAGAAGAAAGAGUUCGCAAUAAGGACUUAUUUUGUAACUCGAAGGUUAUGAUUGAAAGUCCAAGAUAGUACGAAGAGCAGAUGCAGGAUUGAGCAUCAAGGUUAUUACUUAGAAUGGAAAGAUAACUUAUGGAGUCAGUAUGCGAAUCCUAUUUCGUUGAUGAUUCCGGGACGUAAUCAUCCUAAGGGGGAGAUAAUUGUAACGCCCGUAGAUCAGGGCUAGUCAAUUUAGAAACAAUAAGCGUCAAAAAUGACUUUUUGAUGGAAGAUUAUCUAGAAGGAUUAAUCUUAACCAAGUUGUAGUAUAUGUCACAAGGUUUCCGUGCAUAUAAAGAACGCCAAAAUCCGAGUUAUAACGAAGAAGUUAUGGCCCGUCGAAGUUUCGCGACAGAACCGGCACGACGCAAUGCAACGUAAAAAGUGAAUUUACGUUAGAGCGGUAUUUAGCCGAAGCAAUCUAAAUGAGAAUCGAAGAUCUCAUUGUUGGUAUCGAAGCGAUAAAAAGUUAGGCGAGAACGGACGUCAAACGAAGAAGUUAUGAAUUUAUAACGAAAGUUUAUGUCGCGGCCUAUUAAAAAUAAUUAAUAAAAAUAAAGUCAAAAUUAGCCGACGGAGUCUAAACGAAAGUUGUAGAGCGUAGUCUCACCUUCGCGUGGAUAUAAAGAACGUCGAAAACGGAGUUCGUAUGAAGAAGAUAUGAAUUUCCGAAGAUUAUUAAAUAAUUUGUAUUUAUUUUUAAUCUUUAAUUCGGAAGCAUUAUCCGAAGGAGUCACCGGUCUGAUCCGAGGUACGCGCCGCGUACUCGAGUACGCCCCGCGUACUCCGAAAGUGUCGACAUCGCAGCAAGUGGCUUCGGAUGACGAACGCAGUGACGUUUUUCGGACCAGUACGCCCCGCGUACUGGCGUACGCCCCGCGUACGUGCGAGGCUCAGCCUCUAUAAAAGGAAUCCGAAGGCAGCCGAUAGUUUUGCCAAUUUCUCCUCUUCUUUCUCCCAUUUUGCAUCGGUUUGCGUGCCAGAAAUACCCCGAAGCCCCGGUAUUGUUCUCAAGCCCCGAAGCAAGUCCCGAGAUCCCGAAGAUCCCGAGAAGUGCGGUUCCCGAGCCGAAGCUCUGCCCGCGAGAAGUUCGAUUUUUGAAGAGAUCUUCCAGAUCUGCUGAGGAUUACUACUUCUGCAAGUCGUAGUGCUGUCCGAUCAUCUUCUGAUCAAGUGAGUGUAUACUACCUUUCAUAAACACAAUAAUAAUACGAGUUUGGUUUGAGUGUAUUAAGAGUAUUGUUGUUUAUAAGUGUGAGUGUGUAGUUAUUUUCUUCUAACGCAUAAUUAUUAAGUAUUUUCGUUGAAAUACGUGCUACGUGGAUAAUAUAAAGUUGUUUAUAUGGAUGGAUGUAUAGUCCCUUUCAUAAACACGGGUAUAAUACAAGUAUUGUUUGAAUGUAUUAAGUGUACGUUUGGCAGAGUGUAUGGUUACUUUCUUCUAACACAUAAAUAUGAAGUAUUUGGUAUAAAAUACGUGCUAUGUGUUUAUAUAUUGUUGUUUAUUUGAGAUGAGUAUGGCAUGAAUGUUUUAUAUAGUUUUAAAAUGAGAUAAACUGUAUGUGUAUUCUAGAUCUACAAAUAUGUUGGGUAGAACAUGGGUAGAUGAGAUAGUUGGUAUGUGAUGAAAUGAUGAGGUAUGAAAGAUGAUUAAGAAUGAUAUUGGUAGAUGCACCAAUUAAAGAAUGUCAUAAGACUAGC
rnacentral:lncRNA from 1 species